rnacentral:rRNA from 1 species
AUUGAACGCUGGCGGCAGGCCUAACACAUGCCAGUCGAGCGGAUGAAGGGAGCUUGCUCCUGGAUUCAGCGGCGGACGGGUGAGUAAUGCCUAGGAAUCUGCCUGGUAGUGGGGGAUAACGUCCGGAAACGGGCGCUAAUACCGCAUACGUCCUGAGGGAGAAAGUGGGGGAUCUUCGGACCUCACGCUAUCAGAUGAGCCUAGGUCGGAUUAGCUAGUUGGUGGGGUAAAGGCCUACCAAGGCGACGAUCCGUAACUGGUCUGAGAGGAUGAUCAGUCACACUGGAACUGAGACACGGUCCAGUCUCCUACGGGAGGCAGCAGUGGGGAAUAUUGGACAAUGGGCGAAAGCCUGAUCCAGCCAUGCCGCGUGUGUGAAGAAGGUCUUCGGAUUGUAAAGCACUUUAAGUUGGGAGGAAGGGCAGUAAGUUAAUACCUUGCUGUUUUGACGUUACCAACAGAAUAAGCACCGGCUAACUUCGUG